CUGCUCACUUCGGCAGCACAUACACUAAAACCGGAACGAUACAGAGACUAGCAUGGCCCCUGCGCAAUGAUGACACGCAAAUUUGUGAAGCGUUCCAUAUUUUU
ensembl:snRNA U6 U6 spliceosomal RNA